UGGACCACAGCCAUUCAUUCACUAACAAACCAUAGCCACGCAAUCCAAUGCAAAUCCCGAACCUCCAUUAUGAAUUAUUAUUUUUGAUCAAAGAAGGGCUUCCCCCUUCCGAUUUUCAUUACUGAAAACUCACUGUAGAACCAUUAAGAUGAAUGGACGGGUACUCCUUUCAUGGUUUACGGCAAUCAGAAAUGAAAAUAAUAAGAAAGAUAAAAUCAGUAGCAACCGACCGACAAGUGUGUCCGUGGGCAACCAAUCGAGACCGCAUUUGACCGACCCUCACCGUCAGGGCAGUAUAUUCCAACAACCUGCAAGAUUUCAUACUCGCCUGUUAUAAAAAAAAAAGCAGAUUUCAUACUCACAUCCAGGGAACAUAAAUGUUAUCACAGAGGAUCGAUAACCAACCCUACCUAGAUAACGCCUGGAUCAUGUCGUGCUCAGGCCAGAGAUGCGUCAUCCAUACUCUGUUCUGUUGCCAUCAAAAAUAGCUGAUGUUAGACCUGCCUCAACCUCUAACCGACAGUAAAUUAUCAGAUCAAUGUAGGUCAUCGGAAAUAUAAGAGACAACUAACACGGUACAAACACUUUGUAAGCACACAAGGCUUUCCACCCAUUUUCCCGUUCAAUUGCUUAUUAAUUUUUGCGCCUCUAUGGUGAGCACGUGAUAAUGGAAAACUAGCCUUCAUAAGGCACACAGUAAGACAUGACCUUACAUAUAGCUUGUUAAAGCUUAAAUCGGAUAACAGAGAGACGAGAGACCGUUGGCGCAACAUACUACUGUACCAAGGAAAUAUCUAAAGUCCCUUUGGUCCACAUAGCUCCACCUGAGUCCAUAUAUGCAAAGCAGUAUAUCCGGAGCUAGAUCAAACACAAGCUCACAUGUCCAUCUCGACUUUACAACAACAACAACAACAAAGCCUUUAGUCCCAAACAAGUUGGGGUAGGCUAGAGGUGAAACCCAUAAGAUCUCGCAACCAACUCAUGGCUCUGGCACAUGGAUAGCAAGC
rnacentral:lncRNA from 1 species